rnacentral:rRNA from 1 species
UACGGAGGGGGCUAGCGUUGUUCGGAAUUACUGGGCGUAAAGCGCGCGUAGGCGGCUUUGUAAGUCAGAGGUGAAAGCCUGGAGCUCAACUCCAGAACUGCCUUUGAAACUACAUCGCUAGAAUCAUGGAGAGGUUAGUGGAAUUCCGAGUGUAGAGGUGAAAUUCGUAGAUAUUCGGAAGAACACCAGUGGCGAAGGCGGCUCACUGGACUGGUAUUGACGCUGAGGUGCGAAAGCGUGGGGAGCAAACAGG